GAGCGUGCAAUCGAUUGGUAUGGCUCCAAAUCAAACCAAAAUUAAAAAACCUAAAAACCAAAUUCACCUAAGAUUCUAACCGAACUGAACUAAACUAAGAGAAGAAUCGAAUCAAAUCAAAUCGAAUUGAAUUGGUUCGAUUCGAUUAAAAAUCAUCGGUUUUGCAAAUUCCCAAAGCCCCAAACUCUUAUAUUCUCAAACGAUACUGUUUCCGCACUUGAACAUUACCUUCCCCAAUCUUGGAUUACAAGCAAAACCCCGAUCCUCAGCAAAGAACUUUCCCAA
rnacentral:misc_RNA from 1 species